UCUCCAGCUGUUUUUGGACUACUGUUCCCAUCAUCCCUGACCACUGGUCCUGCUAGUUAGGGAUGAUGGGAGUUGUAGCCUCAAAACAGCUGGAGA